rnacentral:rRNA from 1 species
UACGUAGGGUGCAAGCGUUAAUCGGAAUUACUGGGCGUAAAGCGUGCGCAGGCGGUUUUGUAAGUCUGUCGUGAAAGCCCCGGGCUCAACCUGGGAAUUGCGUUGGAGACUGCAAGGCUAGAAUCUGGCAGAGGGGGGUAGAAUUCCACGUGUAGCAGUGAAAUGCGUAGAGAUGUGGAGGAACACCGAUGGCGAAGGCAGCCCCCUGGGUCAAGAUUGACGCUCAUGCACGAAAGCGUGGGGAGCAAACCGG